CACGUAGGGGACGAGCGUUGUCCGGAUUCAUUGGGCGUAAAGCGCGCGUAGGCGGCUCGGAAAGUCGGGCGUGAAAUGCCGGGACUCAACCCCGGGACUGCGUCCGAUACUUCCGAGCUGGAGGUAGGUAGGGGAGAUCGGAAUUCCUGGUGUAGCGGUGAAAUGCGCAGAUAUCAGGAGGAACACCGGUGGCGAAGGCGGCAUCCUGGACCAAUAUUGACGCUGAGGAGCGAAAGCCAGGGGAGCAAACGGG
rnacentral:rRNA from 1 species